AAUAUUUUAGUUGGAUAACUGAGGUAAUUCUUGAGCUAAUACACGCUAUUUAUACCACAUUAGUGGUGCGUUUAUUUGAUUAAACCAUUUUAUACUGGUUGACUCAAAAUAUCCUCGCUGAUUUUGUUACUAAAACAUACCGUAUGUGUAUCUGGUUUAUCAACUUUCGAUGGUAGGGUAUUGGCCUACCAUGGUUGUGACGGAUAACGGAGAAUUAGGGUUCGACUCCGGAGAGGGAGCCUGAGAAACGGCUACCACAUCCAAGGAAGGCAGCAGGCGCGAAAAUUACCCAAUUUUAGUUAAAAGAGGUAGUGACGAAAAAUGACAACCAAAUAUUAUUAUUAAUAUUUGGAUUGAAAAUCUUCAAGUUUAAAUAACUUGUUGGUAAAGGAAAGGGCAAGUCUGGUGCCAGCAGCCGCGGUAAUACCAGCUUU
rnacentral:rRNA from 1 species